rnacentral:rRNA from 1 species
GACGAACGCUGGCGGCGUGCCUAAUACAUGCAAGUCGAACGCUUUUUCUUUCACCGGAGCUUGCUCCAUCGAAAGAAAAAGAGUGGCGAACGGGUGAGUAACACGUGGGUAACCUGCCCAUCAGAAGGGGAUAACACUUGGAAACAGGUGCUAAUACCGUAUAACACUAUUUUCCGCAUGGAAGAAAGUUGAAAGGCGCUUUUGCGUCACUGAUGGAUGGACCCGCGGUGCAUUAGCUAGUUGGUGAGGUAACGGCUCACCAAGGCAACGAUGCAUAGCCGACCUGAGAGGGUGAUCGGCCACACUGGGACUGAGACACGGCCCAGACUCCUACGGGAGGCAGCAGUAGGGAAUCUUCGGCAAUGGACGAAAGUCUGACCGAGCAACGCCGCGUGAGUGAAGAAGGUUUUCGGAUCGUAAAACUCUGUUGUUAGAGAAGAACAAGGAUGAGAGUAAAAUGUUCAUCCCUUGACGGUAUCUAACCAGAAAG